ensembl:lncRNA
CCUUCCUCUCAGACAGAUUAAAUCACUUGCUUGUGUUACUCGGAAAUGCUCCGAGCAAUAAGGCAGGAUGGAGCGCGCACAAAAGAGCCUAACAUGGUUUGAAAGAGCGAGACGGACGGGGAGUGUGUUGAUGUAACGUAUCAUUGUGGCGACUCUCUUGAAUUAACGCCAUUAGCCGACCAGCGCGAGAGUCCAGCUGUCCCUCUGAGCCGCUGAGCCACCAUCCAGCCCACUUCCCGUUCUUCUCACUCCAUCCUUCUGAUGGUAAAAGUCAAUCAUCUUUCUUCACGCCGUAGCACAGCCAGUAGCUGAUAGGCAUCUCCUCUGGAGUCUGCUGUAGUCUGCACCAGCUUCAGACAAAGUGCCUCCACCAGACCAGUGAGGCUCCCUGGGAACCCAGCAGCAGACCCACUGGCC